rnacentral:lncRNA from 1 species
GUGCAGUGGUGUAAUUUCGGCUCACUGCAACCUCCGCCUCCCGAGUUCAAGCAGUUCUCCUGCCCUUAUACCUCCAUGUCCACACCACCCUCUUCCUCUCUUACUCCUCCUUGGGCUUCCUGGCCCAACCAGGACGGCCCCACCACAGGACUCACAGUGUUGAAAUCCCAUUUGUGGAGGCUCCCAAAUGUCAGCAUCUGCCCUGGCCUUUCUCAGCUGCCGUAACUCCACGCGGCUGAGAAAGAAAAAGAAGGGGAAACUCCACCAAACUUAAAAAUUGGGAAUAACUGUACUGCUCCCUGCAAACACAUAAAGCUGAUCCAGCCACAAUGGCAAGUACUUCAAACAGAGCCACUUCCUUCUUAGCACUCUGUUUUAUCUUUUUAUUUGGUUUUGACACAGGGUCUCACUCUGUCACCCAGGCUGGAGUGCAGUGGCACAGUCUUGGCUCACUUCAACCUCUGCCUCCUUGGUUCAAGCGAUUCUCCUGCUUCAUCCUCCAGAGUAGCUGGGACCACAUCUGUUUUAUCUUUAAACUGAGGAGACACAUCCCUCCGCCCCUCUCCAUAUAGACCCUGGCGUCCUGUGUCUUCUCUGCUCUCUCAGGGCCACCUUCUGAGCAACAGAUCACCACGGCAGCCCCAGGGAGCGGAGUGGGGGUGGGGGGGAUGGCUUUGUCAACUUGUUCUCAUUCUUGAGCUGACGAUCUCUCCGUUUUGAGAGUGAGGAGAUCUAGGCCUUUUUCUUUUCCCUGGCAUGUUUAAUUUACAAUUCUUGUACUCAGGCAGUGUGAAUGUUUACCAUAUGUUGGUUGUGUGGCAAAAUAUUCUGGCUCCCAGAAAAAGUCUGGUAGCUGAGUCAAGCUGAGUCACUCACCUAGAGAAGUCCUGAGGGAGGUCAUUA